rnacentral:rRNA from 1 species
UACGUAGGGGGCGAGCGUUGUCCGGAUUCAUUGGGCGUAAAGAGCUCGUAGGCGGUUCGGUAAGUCAGAUGUGAAAACUCCAGGCUCAACUUGGAGAGGCCAUCUGAUACUGCUGUGACUAGAGUCCGGUAGGGGAGCACGGAAUUCCUGGUGUAGCGGUGAAAUGCGCAGAUAUCAGGAGGAACACCGGUGGCGAAGGCGGUUCUCUGGGCAUGAUCUGACGCUGAGGAGCGAAAGUGUGGGGAGCGAACAGG